rnacentral:rRNA from 1 species
CCCUUAGACGUUCUUGGCCGCACGCGCGCUACACUGACACAGGCAACGAGCUUUCCUUUACCGAAAGGUAUGGGUAAUCUUUUGAAACUGUGUCGUGCUGGGGAUAGAUCCUUGCAAUUUUUGAUCUUAAACGAGGAAUUCCUAGUAAGCGCGAGUCAUCAACUCGCGUUGAUUACGUCCCUGCCCUUUGUACACACCGCCCGUCGCUACUACCGAUUGAAUGGCUUAGUGAGGCCUCAGGAUCCGCGCUUAAUGUGUGGAGAAUUUGGACAAACUACGUCAUUUAGAGGAAGUAAAAGUCGUAACA